GCAUGCGUGGUGAAAUUGGUAAACACAUCAGGCUUAAGAUCUGACAAGAUCUUCUUUUGUAGGUUCAAAUCCUACCGUGUGCA
rnacentral:tRNA from 1 species